rnacentral:rRNA from 1 species
CGAACGGGUGAGUAACACGUGGGCAAUCUGCCCUUCACUCUGGGACAAGCCCUGGAAACGGGGUCUAAUACCGGAUAACACUCUGUCCCGCAUGGGACGGGGUUAAAAGCUCCGGCGGUGAAGGAUGAGCCCGCGGCCUAUCAGCUUGUUGGUGGGGUAAUGGCCUACCAAGGCGACGACGGGUAGCCGGCCUGAGAGGGCGACCGGCCACACUGGGACUGAGACACGGCCCAGACUCCUACGGGAGGCAGCAGUGGGGAAUAUUGCACAAUGGGCGAAAGCCUGAUGCAGCGACGCCGCGUGAGGGAUGACGGCCUUCGGGUUGUAAACCUCUUUCAGCAGGGAAGAAGCGAAAGUGACGGUACCUGCAGAAGAAGCGCCGGCUAACUACGUGCCAGCAGCCGCGGUAAUACGUAGGGCGCAAGCGUUGUCCGGAAUUAUUGGGCGUAAAGAGCUCGUAGGCGGCUUGUCACGUCGGAUGUGAAAGCCCGGGGCUUAACCCCGGGUCUGCAUUCGAUACGGGCUAGCUAGAGUGUGGUA